GGGCGUCUAGCUCAAGUGGUAGAGCGCUCGCUUAGCAUGCGAGAGGCAGGGGGAUCGAUGCCCUCGUCGUCCA
rnacentral:tRNA from 1 species